rnacentral:rRNA from 1 species
UAGGGAAUCUUCCGCAAUGGGCGAAAGCUUGACGGAGCAACGCCGCGUGAGUGAUGAAGGUCUUCGGAUCGUAAAACUCUGUUAUUAGGGAAGAACAAAUGUGUAAGUAACUAUGCACGUCUUGACGGUACCUAAUCAGAAAGCCACGGCUAACUACGUGCCAGCAGCCGCGGUAAUACGUAGGUGGCAAGCGUUAUCCGGAAUUAUUGGGCGUAAAGCGCGCGUAGGCGGUUUUUUAAGUCUGAUGUGAAAGCCCACGGCUCAACCGUGGAGGGUCAUUGGAAACUGGAAAACUUGAGUGCAGAAGAGGAAAGGAAUUCCAUGUGUAGCGGUGAAAUGCGCAGAGAUAUGGAGGAACACCAGUGGCGAAGGCGACUUUCUGGUCUGUAACUGACGCUGAUGUGCGAAAGCGUGGGGAUCAAACAGG